GCGGGCCAGGCGCCCGGCCUCAGAGCUCGGUUCCCGCGCGGCCCAGGGCCCUCCAGGACGCACUGCGCCUCUCCCCACGCCACAGCCACGCUUUGCCUUCAGGGCUGCGGGAGAAGAAUUAAUCCCCUCGGCCAUUACCGCCCCCCAAAUGCGUCCGGCCUUCUACUCACUCCUUCUUCCCUGUCGGCGGGACGACGCCGGGAGAUGGACAAUCGCGUGUCGCUGAGGGGUUCUGGGUGUUGCUGCGGGAGAGGGCUGGGGGGUGAUGCGCGCGCGCGCGUGUGUCUGUAUGUGUGCAUUCAAGGGAAGGAAGACCGCAAAGGUGUCCACACCUGCCUGUCUUGGAUCCUACCAGCCCCUCCUCCCCCGGCGAAGAGAAGACUGCUUCCCCUGGAACCUCUUCCCUAACCCCCCCACUGCUUUCACCGCCAGCGGCGACCUUUGAAUUGCCCUGUUAUUGUUUACAAACACCUUCGCCAGCUCUUUUAGGGCCUGUCUCCACAGGAAGUGUGAAUCUGAGUUGAAAAUCUUCUGGUUAAUUUGAUCCACCUAACCAACUGAAUCACCCGCCGCCAGGCGCUCUGUCCAACUCUUCCGGAAAAAGGUAAUGAUUCUUCUCAGGUGACAGCAUGGCUGGCUGGGUCUGGAAUCCUGCCCAGGAAAGAUGCAGAGGUGACCCAAUUCUCAGAUGACCGUGGGUCAGGAACAUGGAUGCAGGUGGCUGGAUCCCCCACUCAGCCUCCAUCACAAGACCGCUAUGGUUAUGCUAUCCUCUGAAGACUCAGUGGCAAGGACCGGCUUCAAGCCCACAGCAUUGUUGACAGCCUUCAGUGUCUUGCAAUCUGCUGACUGACCUCAGUUCCUCGCCAGGCUGUUGGCCAAGGUCUGCCCUCCAUUUCCUGGCACUCCAGCUCCUCGUAGAGCAUCUCACCACGCGGCAGCUGACCUCAUCAUAGUGAAUAAACAAGAACGACAAAGAGACUGUGACCAAGAUGGAAGUUACUGUCUUUUGUAAACUAAUGUUGAAUUUGAUGUCCCAUCACUUUGACUGUAUUCUAGUCAUUAGAAGCAAGUUAUUAGGUCCAGUGCCUACUGAAGGGAAGGGGAUUACACAAGAAUAUGAGCACCAGGAAAUGGGAACACGGGAGCCAUUUUAGAAACUGCCAACCACAUUUGACUUUCAAUUAGUGUUUGUUGAAUGGAUGGAUGGGUGAAUUUGGAUACAUGGAGAGAGGGAGAAUAGAGACAGGUAGGGGAAUACUGCUGUUAAGAAAUUGUUUCCUCAGUAUGCUGGAAAGCCAAGGGACAUGGGCAUCAAAAGGCUUGCCUCUUUCCACUUGUCACAUGCUUUAUUUUCAAGAUUGGUUAACUUCUACUCUGAUUCCAGCCUCCUCAUUCACCCACAAAUGCACAUGGGCAUGAGACAUACAGACAGGAAGACAAUUCAGUCUUCAGAGAGGUGAAGACGUUGGCAAGCUUACACACUGGGCUCAGAGGUUUGUAAGUUGCUUUCAGAGGAAAGGCUGGGGAAUUUGUUAAUUCGGGGAAAAGCACAUUUUUUCCCACUUGCACAACUCAAAUAAGGCUGAACACUCCCAUGCUGGAAUUUUCCAAACCAUUUCCAUUUCUCAGAUGGAGAGGAGGAAAUUUGGACAAAGCAAAGGCUUGUUUUUGAGGGAGAAAUGAGUUAUAUCUGUGGCAUACCUUUUGUGUGCUCAGCAUGAUCUUGCAUCUCAGGCCUAGAGAAGAAGUAAAGACACAAGAGGAACACCCAAGGUGGCUGCAGGGACCAAGCUAGCCUUAGGGAGAUGACAGUGAGACAAAGGGACAGCAUUGCCUCAAUGUGGUGUGCUGCUGGAGAUCAAGAAGAGGGGAUUCAUAGGGCUGACACAGGAAGGGAGAGCUUCUGGAAAUAGGUUGGUUAGAGCUUCACCUUUGAGUAUGAAAAGUGUUUGAAUAGGAGGGCAUUCUAGGCAAGGAGCAGCAUAGGAAAAAGGCUCAGAAGUGGGAAUUGGUGUGGUAUGACCAUGGGCAGAUAAAUAGGGCUGAAUAAAUGGAAGGUGUAUGUACAUGGUGACAACUAAGAAAAUGAUGAGAGUCUGAGGGGCAGGAGCUUCCUGAGUUUAGGAGGUGGGGUUAGUGAGAGUAGUCUUGGAAGGGAAAUGAGGAAAGUACUAAAGUUCGGGGGGUAGUUGGCUCAUCACUGGACCCAGGGCUGAAUAGCCCCCAGGAACAAUCUGUGGUGGGGCCGUCAUCACGCCUUCCUCAUGUCAGAGCUGCUGAGGAACACAAGUGGGUCUUGGUGACAGCUGCCAGGGGAUCAACAAAGUUCACCUGGAUUCUUUGUGGUCUGCUCUCAGGGAAAAAAUCCACCACAGAGAGAUAAGUCAGAGCCCCUGCGUCCGUAUAUGGUGCACCUUUACCUGCAGAGAAGAGCUCGUCCUUGCUGGGAACAGCCUCCACCUCAGUCUGGACACCAGGGAAAGCCGCAGGUGACACAGCCUCCCUCAGGGUCACACUGAUGCCCCUGCUUUGACUCACCGGAACACCUCAACUCCCCCAGCCUCCGAAUUCAGGGCUCCUGCACCAGCCUGCCUCUAUCCCCUCUGGAUGCCUAUAGGAGUUCCAUCUUCUCCGUUCCCUUCUGCCAGCCUCGAUGGGUGCCAGACUGCCUCUGUGUGAGACCCUGGCUGGGAAGGGCAGGCAGGACUGGGCUUUUCUCUCCUCCAUAUCCACUCCCAGCCCCAACAGGCACCAGGAAAAAGGGUUGUUGGUGGUGUUUCAGAGGCUCCAUGACCCCAUAAAAUAUGCUUCAUUUUUCUCAGAAAAUGAGCCAUUUUUUCCCUCUUAUGUUUUCAUAUGGUGCCCAGAAGUCCCUGGAUUUCCUGGAAUUUAUAUGAAGAAUUCCAGCUAUUCCAGCUGUAGUUUUCACACACAGAGCUCCUGCCAACAGACUUUGGCCAUCUGGGGGCAGCCUGUGGCGGUGGAGUGAGCUCUGCUCUUGAGCUCUAGCCACCUGGCAAGGGCUUCUCUGCUGACCCCCUACCAUGCUUGUGGAUAUCAAAACAAAUAAUUUUAUUGAGUUAUCAUUGGCAUAUAAUAAACCACACUGAACAAUGUGUUAA